rnacentral:rRNA from 1 species
AUUGAACGCUGGCGGCAUGCCUUACACAUGCAAGUCGAACGGUAACGGGCCUUCGGGUGCCGACGAGUGGCGAACGGGUGAGUAAUGCAUCGGAACGUACCUUUCAGUGGGGGAUAACGUAGCGAAAGUUACGCUAAUACCGCAUAUUCUGUGAGCAGGAAAGCAGGGGAUCGCAAGACCUUGCGCUGAUUGAGCGGCCGAUGUCAGAUUAGCUAGUUGGUGAGGUAAAGGCUCACCAAGGCGACGAUCUGUAGCGGGUCUGAGAGGAUGAUCCGCCACACUGGAACUGAGACACGGUCCAGACUCCUACGGGAGGCAGCAGUGGGGAAUUUUGGACAAUGGGGGCGAACCCUGAUCUAGCCAUGCCGCGUGAGUGAAGAAGGCCUGG